rnacentral:lncRNA from 1 species
CAGUGUUUUGUCUGGAAUGAAAGCAGUUGAGACAGCUUUUAUUGUGCAUUUUGUGUCAUGAAAUAAUAAGGAUCUUCCCGCCUCCCCCUACUCCCCAGUAAUGCUCUGAGAGACGAAAGUUUGGGGAGUUCUGAAAGAGAAGAUUUCAAAAGAAGAGGUGAGAGAGGAGCUGAAAACAGGGAGGAUGAUCUGUGAAAUCAUGACAGCAGGUCAGACCAGAAGGUCUAAGUGGUGACCUUCUCUGGGUUGGAUACACAGAUGGCAAGGAAGAAUCCGUGAGAAUUUACCCUGCUUCCUGUUGGGAGUCUGGAGGAGACUGAAGCAGAGACUGGGAUCAGAAAAGGCUUCACCAGACACGAGGCAUAUCCAGUCUUCCAGCCCUUGGAUGGGAGCUGACAGAAAUACAUGCAUCUAGCAUGAGUUAAGAUUCCUUGGAAGAUUAUGCUCAAGGAGAACAAAGAUGGGAGCAGGAUG